CAACAAGGUUGAAAUGAUGUUGAAGGGUUGGUUAUUUAGAGGAAUGGAUGGGAAGGGGUUUAGAUAUGUAGGAGAGGCAAGGAAAGGCUUGGAGAAUGGUUAAUUUCUGGAUGAAUUGAAUGAGGUUGCUGCAUGGUAUUUAUAGGGAGAGGAUGGACUUGUUUAAGCACAAAUUUCUGAUGGAAUGGGUAGGUAAACUCACGGCAUAUGGUGGAGAAUUGUUGUUGGGGUAGGUUUUGAGUCAUCCACUCACAUGUCAUGGUGAGCUAAGCAUUGCAUCAUCCACUCACAUGUCAUGGUGAGUUAAGCAUUGCAUCAUCCACUCAAAUUUCUGGUGUGAAAGCAUCAAGGAUGCACGGCAAGGAUGUGAUUUUUGGUGUGAACAUGGUUUUGAGUGGAAUUUUGGUCAAUCCUUCUAGAAACCUAUCCCUUCUUGCAACUUGUAUUUGUUUCACCAGAUUUU
rnacentral:lncRNA from 1 species